rnacentral:rRNA from 1 species
CAGGCCUAACACAUGCAAGUCGAGGGGCAGCACGGGUAGCAAUACCUGGUGGCGACCGGCGCAAGGGUGCGUAACGCGUGAGCAACAUGCCCUAUACAGGGGGAUAAACCAGGGAAACUUGGACUAAUACCCCAUAGCAUUUAUUUAUGGCAUCAUGAAUAAAUUAAAGCUUCGGUGGUAUAGGAUUGGCUCGCGUGACAUUAGCUAGAUGGUGAGGUAACGGCUCACCAUGGCGAUGAUGUCUAGGGGUUCUGAGAGGAAGGCCCCCCACACUGGGACUGAGACACGGCCCAGACUCCUACGGGAGGCAGCAGUGAGGAAUAUUGGGCAAUGGAUGGAAAUCUUGAUCCAGCCAUGCCGCGUGCAGGAAGACGGCCCUAUGGGUUGUAAACUGCUUUU